GGAAAGGUGGCAGAGUGGUCGAUUGCGGCGGUCUUGAAAACCGUUGAAGUGCGAGCUUCCGGGGGUUCGAAUCCCUCCCUUUCCGCCA
rnacentral:tRNA from 1 species